rnacentral:rRNA from 1 species
GGGUUGUGAGGUUAAGCGACUAAGCGUACACGGUGGAUGCCCUGGCAGUCAGAGGCGAUGAAGGACGUGCUAAUCUGCGAUAAGCGCCGGUAAGGUGAUAUGAACCGUUAUAACCGGCGAUACCCGAAUGGGGAAACCCAGUGUGAUUCGUCACACUAUCAUUAACUGAAUCCAUAGGUUAAUGAGGCGAACCGGGGGAACUGAAACAUCUAAGUACCCCGAGGAAAAGAAAUCAACCGAGAUUCCCCCAGUAGCGGCGAGCGAACGGGGAGGAGCCCAGAGCCUGAAUCAGCAUGUGUGUUAGUGGAAGCGUCUGGAAAGGCGCGCGAUACAGGGUGACAGCCCCGUACACAAAAGCGCAUGUGCUGUGAGCUCGAUGAGUAGGGCGGGACACGUGGUAUCCUGUCUGAAUAUGGGGGGACCAUCCUCCAAGGCUAAAUACUCCUGACUGACCGAUAGUGAACCAGUACCGUGAGGGAAAGGCGAAAAGAACCCCGGCGAGGGGAGUGAAAAAGAACCUGAAACCGUGUACGUACAAGCAGUGGGAGCCCCACCACCAAAGCAUUCUCUGGUGUUGAAGGCCCUGCAAAGCAGCAUCGCGGUGGCGGAGCGUCGUUUGCGACGCCCAACACACAAAACAAGCGGUGAGUGCUUUGGGGUGGGGUGACUGCGUACCUUUUGUAUAAUGGGUCAGCGACUUAUAUUCUGUAGCAAGGUUAACCGAAUAGGGGAGCCGGAGG